rnacentral:rRNA from 1 species
CGAGUUGCAAACUCCCAACCCGUGCGAACGCUACCUUUGUCGUUGCUUCGGCGGCCGAAACCCGGCCCGGCCCGGCCCGGUGAAAUACGCGGGCCAGGGCCCCGGGCGGGGCGGACGCCGCCGGAGGCCCCCAACUCCAAAUUUUUCAGUGUAUCUCUGAGCGAAACAAACAUAAUGAGUCAAAACUUUCAACAACGGAUCUCUUGGCUCUGGCAUCGAUGAAGAACGCAGCGAAAUGCGAUAAGUAAUGUGAAUUGCAGAAUUCAGUGAAUCAUCGAAUCUUUGAACGCACAUUGCGCCCGCCGGUAUUCCGGCGGGCAUGCCUGUCCGAGCGUCUUUUCGACCCCUCAAGCCCAGCUUGGUGUUGGGGCAGCGGGCCCCCGGUCCGCGCCCCCAAGUCGAUCGGCGGGCCCGCCGGGCCCCGAGCGCAGUAGUAACAUCUCGCUCGGGAGUCCCGGCGGGACCCGGCCGCUAAACAACCCACGAGACCUUCUCAAUGUUAGACCUCGGAUCAGGUAGGAAUACCCGCUGAACUUAAGCAUAUCAAUAAGCGGAGGAAAAGAAACCAACAGGGAUUGCCUCAGUAACGGCGAGUGAAGCGGCAACAGCUCAAAUUUGAAAUCUGGCCCCCGGGGUCCGAGUUGUAAUUUGCAGAGGAUGCUUUUGGUGAGGCCUUUACCGAGUCCCCUGGAAUGGGGCGCCACAGAGGGUGAGAGCCCCGUAUGGUUUGCGGCCGAGCCUCUGUAAAGCUCCUUCGACGAGUCGAGUAGUUUGGGAAUGCUGCUCUAAACGGGAGGUAAAUUUCUUCUAAAGCUAAAUACCGGCCAGAGACCGAUAGCGCACAAGUAGAGUGAUCGAAAGAUGAAAAGCACUUUGAAAAGAGGGUUAAAAAGCACGUGAAAUUGUUGAAAGGGAAGCGCUAGUGACCAGACUUGCGCCGGGCGGAUCAUCCAGCGUUCUCGCUGGUGCACUCCGCCCGGCUCAGGCCAGCAUCGGCUCUCGCCGGGGGAUAAAAGCUCGGGGAACGUGGCCCUCUUCGGAGGGCGUUAUAGCCCCCUGCACAAUGCCCCGGCGGGGGCCGAGGACCGCGCUCG